rnacentral:rRNA from 1 species
CAGCAGCCGCGGUAAUACGUAGGGUGCAAGCGUUAAUCGGAAUUACUGGGCGUAAAGCGCACGCAGGCGGUUUGUUAAGUCAGAUGUGAAAUCCCCGAGCUUAACUUGGGAACUGCAUUUGAAACUGGCAAGCUAGGGUCUUGUAGAGGGGGGUAGAAUUCCAGGUGUAGCGGUGAAAUGCGUAGAGAUCUGGAGGAAUACCGGUGGCGAAGGCGGCCCCCUGGACAGAGACUGACGCUCAGGUGCGAAAGCGUGGGGAGCAAACAGGAUUAGAUACCCGCGUAGUCCCUGUCUCUUAUAC